UGAGAACCUUCGAUUAAGGUUCGACUCGAGCGAAAGAACGUUGCCAACGGUAACGGCCCGUAGGGUGAGGAGUGAAGCGACGAA
rnacentral:sRNA from 1 species